rnacentral:miRNA from 1 species
ACACACACACACACACACACACAUAUAUAUACACACAUACAUACAUACAGUUUGUGUACUGUGUGUGUGUGUGUGUGUGUGUGU